rnacentral:rRNA from 1 species
GACGAACGCUGGCGGCGUGCUUAACACAUGCAAGUCGAACGGAAAGGCCCUGCUUUUGUGGGGUGCUCGAGUGGCGAACGGGUGAGUAACACGUGAGUAACCUGCCCUUGACUUUGGGAUAACUUCAGGAAACUGGGGCUAAUACCGGAUAGGAGCUCCUGCUGCAUGGUGGGGGUUGGAAAGUUUCGGCGGUUGGGGAUGGACUCGCGGCUUAUCAGCUUGUUGGUGGGGUAGUGGCUUACCAAGGCUUUGACGGGUAGCCGGCCUGAGAGGGUGACCGGCCACAUGGGGACUGAGAUACAGCCCAGACUACUACGGGAUGCAGCAGUGGGGAAUAUUGAACGAUGGGCGGAAGCCUGAUGCAGCAACGCCGCGGGCAGGAUGACGGCCUUCGGGUUGUAAACCGCUUUCGCCUGUGACAAAGCGUGAGAGACGGUAAUGGGUAAAGAAGCACAGCCUAACUACAUG